rnacentral:rRNA from 1 species
CCUACGGGUGGCAGCAGUAGGGAAUUUUGCGCAAUGGGCGAAAGCCUGACGCAGCAACGCCGCGUGAUCGAGACGCCCUUCGGGGUGUAAAGAUCUGUCAGUGGGGACGAAACUUGACGGUACCCACAGUGGAAGCACCGGCUAACUCCGUGCCAGCAGCCGCGGUAAUACGGGGGGUGCAAGCGUUGUCCGGAAUCAGUGGGCGUAAAGAGUUCGUAGGCGGGACGUAAAGUCUGGUGUUAAAGGCAGAGGCUCAACUUCUGUACGGCACUGGAUACUUGCGAGCUAGAAUGCGGUAGAGGUAAAGGGAAUUCCUGGUGUAGCGGUGAAAUGCUUAGAUAUCACGAAGAACUCCGAUUGCGAAGGCAGCCUGCUGGACUGUAACUGACGCUGAUGCUCGAAAGUGUGGGUAUCAAACAGGAUUAGAUACCCUAGUAGUC